UGAAAGAAACGCGGCGAGAAGGAAAGAGGGUGAAGGAAGGCCGUGGACUGCGGCCAGGCCAGGUCGGGGUGGUGCACGGGGGAGGAGCUGGCUGCCGACGGAGAAGGAAAUCUGGGAGGACAGUUCAGCAGAAGCAGAGCGGAAACGUUGGAGGGCAUUUUACGUCUAGAGGAACGUUCAGAAUGUGUGAAGCAAACAGCCUGCUUUGGUGACGCCCAGGUCGCAGGUGUCCGGCAGAGAGGCUGUAAACAGCGCGUGUGGACCUCGUCUACGCAGCCCACCUGACUUGCUCCUUCAGAAGUGAAACCCAUUUCUAGCCUCUCCAGAUCUCGGAAGAUACUCAAAGAUCAAUCUGAAAUCCAAAGGCUGGCCAAUUAUACUUAUCAACGAUGGCAGUUUGCUGGAGCCUCACUAAAAACAAGGGUCUGGGAGGAACUAAAGGUCCUUCAGGCGUUUCUUGUGAGGAGGCACCUGGAUGAAUUUCAAAACUACUCUGCCAUCUGCCAAAGUCAAAUGACAUCACAUCCAGGCCCCAUCGCAUGGCAGUGGUUAGCAAGAGGCUGGUGACGUAUGAGGCUUUGGAGACCAGAUCCCCUGAUGGGUUUCCAACACUUGGAGAGCCUUCCCAAGUGCACUGCCUGUUCCCCAGCGUGUCCCCCAGCCCUUCCAAGGGAAAGGGCGCAAAUGCAUGGGCUCCUAUGUGGAGCUGAACUAUUUGGAUGAUUCUGUUACAGGUUUUCAGGAUCCGAUCCAGCAGUCAAAAACUAUGUGCCGAGUGCUAGCACGUCUGAAGCACAGUGCCAGGUUGGGGAAGAUGUGAAAAAGCAAGAAGACAAGGCUUCUGCCCUCGGGUUUUCAGAGCAGUGGGGAAGGAUGCUGUUCUCCAGGUUGAUGUGACAAAGAUUCCAGGUAGAUUUCUACGAGGCUCCCGUAGCAGAAGACCAGGAUUAACUGGGUUCUUCCAUCCUGGAAUGAAAAUAGAUUGGGAGUCUUCUUUGUCACAUUCCACAUUCCUCUUGAAUUUGUGUCAACCGUGUUGCCAUCUGAAGUAUGCCUGGCGUCCAUGGGAACCAAUCAAUCUGCAGCGCCAGCCUCCCCCGCCAUGAGGCAGCAAACAUGACCCUGAGUGGGUCACAGUGUGAGCGUCUGGCUGAGCCUGUGCCUUCCGGGCCAGUGAGUCUGGGAGUGAAGCCGUCUAACUGGCUUUUCCACUGACAUCACACAGGGAAAUAAUUUUUAAGGUGUCUCUGUACUUUUCUAACUUCCUUGAACAAUGGUGUUAUUUAUGUGGUUAUGAAACAUGGCUUGAGAAUUAUUCUUCUUUGAU